rnacentral:misc_RNA from 1 species
GAUGAAGAACGCGGCGAAAUGCGAUAAGUAAUGUGAAUUGCAGAAUUCAGUGAAUCAUCGAAUCUUUGAACGCACAUUGCGCCCCCUGGUAUUCCGGGGGGCAUGCCUGUCCGAGCGUCAUUACAACCCUCAAGCUCAGCUUGGUGUUGGGCCCCGCCGCCCCGGCGGGCCCUAAAGUCAGUGGCGGUGCCGUCCGGCUCCGAGCGUAGUAAUUCUUCUCGCUCUGGAGGUCCGGUCGUGUGCUCGCCAGCAACCCCCAAUUUUUUUCAGGUUGACCUCGGAUCAGGUAGGGAUACCCGCUGAACUUAAGCAUAUCAAUAAGCGGAGGA